CAAUAGCGUAUAUUUAAGUUGUUGCAGUUAAAAAGCUCGUAGUCGGAUUUUGGCUGAGAACGAUCGGUCCGCCGUUAGGCGUGCACUGAUUGGUCUCAGCUUCCUGGUGAGGAGGUGUGCUUCACGGCCACUUAGUCACCGUGGUUACUUUGAAAAAAUUAGAGUGUUCAAAGCGGGCUUACGCUUGAAUAUAUUAGCAUGGAAUAACACCAUAGGACUCCUGUCCUAUUUCGUUGGUCUCGGGACGGGAGUAAUGAUUAAGAGGAACAGUUGGGGGCAUUCGUAUUUCAUUGUCAGAGGUGAAAUUCUUGGAUUUAUGAAAGACGAACUUCUGCGAAAGCAUUUGCCAAGGAUGUUUUCAUUGA
rnacentral:rRNA from 1 species